rnacentral:lncRNA from 1 species
GGAGGCAUUGGUUUUGAUCUGAAGUUCACACCUAAAGACCAAAGGAUUCGGUCUCUUAAAUAGAUGGGCUCUUUUAAUCUUAACCAAAAUCAAAUUUGGUUCAAAGGAUUAAUUCUAAUCGCAUUAGGAUUUCUAUUUUAUCUCAACACAAACACCAAUUAAUCCACGCCUAAAUGGGAUAAGGGGGCCACCAACUUUUGGCACCCUCUUAGGAUUUCUCAUGCGGAAAAACACAUGAAAAGAGGGAGGAGGGCAUCCACCCCUCUCUUCCCUUCUUUCUUACAUCCGUUCCAUCAAGUGGCGCCUCAUAUGAUCAUAUCAAGUAGCGCCUUCACUUAAUCAAGGGGUUAGUUAGGGGAUUAGGCCCCUAUCUUGGCUUGAUCUAAAUCUAUUUGGGUAGCCAACAUUUGGAUCCAAGUGAAUCUAAUUCAAUAGGUUGAUUACAGAUAAUUGACUCGAAUUAAUUUUUAUCAAAUAAACAAUCUAAGUGUAAAGAGAAAUUGAGUUUAACUAUGUAUUAGUAAAGUUGUCUUAAACUUAAUAAAAUUUCUCUUAACCCAAUUAAGACUUUAUAAGUUCAAUUACUUAACGUAGAUCAAAUUCCUUUAUUAUGUGACCCUAUAGUUCAAUUCUGUCUGGUAGUGAGAUAUACCAUGAUCUCUAUCAUAGUAUUAUUGAAACUCUUUUCAAUGGAUCGUAAUGAUUUUAUUCUAACUCAAUAAGGAUCGUCGAUCUAGAAUGAUCCUAGUAAGCUCUUACAAUCCAUCAGUGACACCAGCAGUAUAUAGUGGCAACCCAGCAAAACUAAAAAAGAACCUCUAAGUAUAGUUUCUAUAUGAUUCAGUCUCUCUAUCGUGAGUCCUGACUAGAUGGCAGGUCAUGGAUAAAUCGUUAAAUUUCAACAUCAGUUAUAUGAUAUAUUCAAUCAGCUCAAGUCCAAUUAUAUUUUUCAUAAAAAUUUCUUUCCAUCAAUCACAUUACUGUGGCCAUAGACUUAUGGACUUUGUUGCUCUAAGAUAGCAACCCAAGAGGAGGGGGGUGAAUUGGGUUGUUUAAAAAUUUUAAUCAAAUUUAUUUUUUAAGCAAUAAUAUUUCUCAAUUUAAAACUUAACUAAGUACUUGUGAUGUGAUCAAUAUGUGCAGCAACAAAAGCAAAUGAUUAACAAAAUUUUAUAACUAAUAAUCUAAUAAAAAAUAAGAAUUAAAAGCAAACAAAGCAAGUAAAGCAAGAAAAGCAAGAGAGUGAAGAGAGCAAUGCACAAUCACAAACGUACAGAUUUUAUAGUUGUUCAGUGCAACCCACAUCUACGUCCACUCCCUAAGCUUUUCUUAAAAUUUUCACUAUAAUCCUUCUUUAAUUACAGUAUAUUUAUUUUUUCGGACUCACAAAUAAAUUCAGUUGAUUUUUCAGGAUCACCAAUCAAAAUUUUACAUCAUUAGUUUUUCAGACUUACUAACAAUCAAUUAAUUUUUCAGACCAACUAAUCAAAAUCUCACACUCAUCCAAUUACGGGCUUGGAACGGCUUGAUCUUCAAGUUUCUUUUCCUUCAAAAAAAAUUUGUAAAGAAUCACAAAUCAAGCAAAGAUAUUCAGUUUAAACAGAAAAAAUGAAACUAUUUUUCAAUAUGAAGAAGAGGG